rnacentral:misc_RNA from 1 species
UCCAACUUAACGUUGGCAGUCUCUUUAGAGUGCCCAACUGAAUGCUGGCAACUAAAGAUAAGGGUUGCGCUCGUUGCGGGACUUAACCCAACAUCUCACGACACGAGCUGACGACAGCCAUGCAGCACCUGUCUCCGAGUCCCUUACGGGACUACUGUAUCUCUACAGUAUUCUCGGGAUUCCAAACCCAGGUAAGGUUUUUCGCGUUGCAUCGAAUUAAACCACAUUCUCCACCGCUUGUGCGGGCCCCCGUCAAUUUCUUUGAGUUUUAAUCUUGCGACCGUACUCCCCAGGCGGGAUACUUAACGCGUUAGCUUCGACACUAGAGGGGUCAAUACCUCUAACAUCAAGUAUCCAUCGUUUACAGCGUGGACUAC